GCCGGGGUGGCGGAAUGGCAGACGCUGCGGACUUAAAAUCCGCUGGGGGAAACCCCGUACGGGUUCAAGUCCCGUCCUCGGCA
rnacentral:tRNA from 1 species